GCCUGUGUGGUGUAAUGGUAAGCACACUCGGCGCGUGUUCGAGAGAACCGAGGCUCGAAUCCCGGCGUAGGCA
rnacentral:tRNA from 1 species